CACACACAGCUUUUGGAGGGGUAAAAUAGUUAGGCUAAGUGCAUGCUGCACAGAACAAAAAUUGCAUUCAAGGUUGGAAGACUUAAUUGAUGUGCGUGUAGAAAAAAUACAACAAAAAAAAAAACGUGGUGAAAAUUUUGCAAAACCAUAAAAGGGAUAUAAACCAAAUAAAAAACAAUAUAAAAGUGUUGUGGCUGCAAAGACGAAAACUUAAAAAACCAACCCCUGGAUAAGGUACGCCAAGAAAAAAAUUAAAAAGUGACCUUAUUACAUAAUUCCAUGUAUGUACUGUACAUAGGUUAUGAUCCACGUGUGGCAGGAAUUUGCUGACCUGGCCUGACCCUCGGUCUCGGAGGGGGUGUCCGCUCCAGUACCACGAUCAUCCGUCCCUCUUUUUGGUGCCACCGGACCUUGCCUGCAGGCGAAAAAAACGGACGGACUUGGCGAUCGGGACCG
rnacentral:lncRNA from 1 species